GUGCUCGCUUCAGCAGCACAUAUACUAAAACUGGAAUGAUACAGAGAAGAUUAGCAUGGCCCCUGUGCAAGGAUCACAUGCAAAUUCGUGAAGCAUUCCAUUAAAAA
ensembl:snRNA U6 U6 spliceosomal RNA